UGGGGAAUAUUGCACAAUGGGCGCAAGCCUGAUGCAGCAACGCCGCGUGAACGAUGAAGGUCUUCGGAUCGUAAAGUUCUGUUGCAGGGGAAGAUAAUGACGGUACCCUGUGAGGAAGCCCCGGCUAACUACGUGCCAGCAGCCGCGGUAAUACGUAGGGGGCUAGCGUUAUCCGGAUUUACUGGGCGUAAAGGGUGCGUAGGUGGUCCUUCAAGUCGGUGGUUAAAGGCUACGGCUCAACCGUAGUAAGCCGCCGAAACUGGAGGACUUGAGUGCAGGAGAGGAAAGUGGAAUUCCCAGUGUGGCGGUGAAAUGCGUAGAUAUUGGGAGGAACACCAGUAGCGAAGGCGGCUUUCUGGACUGCAACUGACACUGAGGCACGAAAGCGUGGGUAGCAAACAGG
rnacentral:rRNA from 1 species